UACAGAGGUCUCAAGCGUUGUUCGGAAUUACUGGGCGUAAAGGGCGCGUAGGCGGCUCGCUAAGUCGGAUGUGAAAACUCUGGGCUCAACCCAGAGCCUGCAUUCGAAACUGACGAGCUCGAGUUCUGGAGGGGAAAGCGGAAUUCCUGGUGUAGCGGUGAAAUGCGCAGAUAUCAGGAGGAACACCGGUGGCGAAGGCG
rnacentral:rRNA from 1 species